CUCCAUUGGAGGAAGGGCAGCCGGGCCAGUCCCGGGAAUGUGCCCAAGAUGCCCUCUCACACGGCAGUGAAGAAGCAGUGUUGAUCGGUUCUGUUUGUAGAGGUGUGAAAACAGCUGCUGCGCCUCCAGUCCAGUCUCUGUGUCAUGGAAGAUGCUAUCGCUACAGUAAAGGGAAGUCACAUAUGACUGUG